rnacentral:rRNA from 1 species
AAGCUCCUACGGGAGGCAGCAGUGGGGAAUAUUGCACAAUGGGGGAAACCCUGAUGCAGCGACGCCGCGUGAGCGAAGAAGUAUUUCGGUAUGUAAAGCUCUAUCAGCAGGGAAGAAAAAUGACGGUACCUGAGUAAGAAGCACCGGCUAAAUACGUGCCAGCAGCCGCGGUAAUACGUAUGGUGCAAGCGUUAUCCGGAUUUACUGGGUGUAAAGGGGGCGCAGACGGCCAUGGCAAGCCCGGUGUGAAAGGUGCGGGCACA